rnacentral:lncRNA from 1 species
GUUCCCCAGGCUGGAGUGCAGUGGUGCCAUCUCAGCUCACUGCAACCUCUGCCUCCCAGGUUCAAGUGCUUCUCCAGCCUCAGCCUCCCAAGUAGCUGAGACUACAGGCACACACCACCACGCCUGGCUAAUUUUUGUAUUUUUAGUAGAGACGGGUUUCACCAUGUUGGCUAGACUAGUCUCAAACUCCUGACCUCAAGUGAUCUGCCCGCCUCGACCUCUCUCAAAGUGCUGGCAUUACAGGUGUGAGCCACGGUGCCCGGCCCACAAUUAAUUUUAGAACAUUUUCAUCACCCCUAAAAGAAACCCUGCACCCAUUAGCAGUCCCUCCACAUUUCCCCCUAGCCUGCCUCCCCUGCCUCACCAGCCCUGGCAACUGCUAAUCUACUUUCUGUGUCUAUGGAUUUGCCUUCUCUAAACAUUUCAUAUAAAUGGAAUUACACAAUGAGUGGUCUUUUGUGACUGGCUUCUUUCACUUAGCACAAUGUUUUCAAGGCUUAUGUGUGUUGUGGUGUGCGUCAGUAAGCUCUUGGUGCUUGAGUCCUGAGACUGGGUCUAGGUC